GUGGUGGCAGGAAGAGGCCAGUGCCCAAGGGUAUUGUCUAUGGUAAGCCCAAGCACCAGGGUAUUACCCAGCUCAAGUUCCAGAGGAACAAGAGGUCUGUUGCUGAAGAAAGAGCUGGGCGCAGGCUGGGUGGUCUUCGUGUGCUCAACUCCUACUGGGUGAAUGAGGUAUAUGUUUGUUACUUGCUAUGAUGUGUGGAAAUGGCUGGAAAUUUUCAAGUCUGAUAUUCACUGAUUCUCUGCUUGCACAUUUCUUGUACUGUAGGACUCUACCUACAAGUACUUUGAGGUCAUCCUUGUUGAUGUUGCUCACAGUGCUGUCCGCAAUGACCCAAGGAUCAACUGGCUCUGCAAGCCUGUGCACAAGCACCGUGAGCUUCGUGGUCUCACCUCAGCUGGGAAGAAGUUCCGUGGUCUGCGUGGCAAGGGCCACCGCCACCACAAGAACAGGCCCUCAAGGAGAGCCACCUGGAAGCGCAACCAGACCGUCUCUCUUCGCCGCUACCGUUAAACUUAUGUCGAGGCUUUUAUGUUCUAUGGAAUCUGCCCUAUGCACACCAUGAUAGUAUUCG
rnacentral:lncRNA from 1 species